AGAGUUUGAUCCUGGCUCAGGAUGAACGCUAGCGACAGGCUUAACACAUGCAAGUCGAGGGGCAGCAUGAUUUGUAGCAAUACAGAUUGAUGGCGACCGGCGCACGGGUGAGUAACGCGUAUGCAACUUACCUAUCAGAGGGGGAUAGCCCGGCGAAAGUCGGAUUAAUACCCCAUAAAACAGGGGUCCCGCAUGGGAAUAUUUGUUAAAGAUUCAUCGCUGAUAGAUAGGCAUGCGUUCCAUUAGGCAGUUGGCGGGGUAACGGCCCACCAAACCGACGAUGGAUAGGGGUUCUGAGAGGAAGGUCCCCCACAUUGGUACUGAGACACGGACCAAACUCCUACGGGAGGCAGCAGUGAGGAAUAUUGGUCAAUGGCCGAGAGGCUGAACCAGCCAAGUCGCGUGAAGGAAGAAGGAUCUAUGGUUUGUAAACUUCUUUUAUAGGGGAAUAAAGUGGAGGACGUGUCCUUUUUUGUAUGUACCCUAUGAAUAAGCAUCGGCUAACUCCGUGCCAGCAGCCGCGGUAAUACGGAGGAUGCGAGCGUUAUCCGGAUUUAUUGGGUUUAAAGGGUGCGUAGGUGGUGAUUUAAGUCAGCGGUGAAAGUUUGUGGCUCAACCAUAAAAUUGCCGUUGAAACUGGGUUACUUGAGUGUGUUUGAGGUAGGCGGAAUGCGUGGUGUAGCGGUGAAAUGCAUAGAUAUCACGCAGAACUCCGAUUGCGAAGGCAGCUUACUAAACCAUAACUGACACUGAAGCACGAAAGCGUGGGGAUCAAACAGGAUUAGAUACCCUGGUAGUCCACGCAGUAAACGAUGAUUACUAGGAGUUUGCGAUAGACAGUAAGCUCUACAGCGAAAGCGUUAAGUAAUCCACCUGGGGAGUACGCCGGCAACGGUGAAACUCAAAGGAAUUGACGGGGCAAUGUACUGCCUAUCGCCAGCAUCGUCGCCGGUAUAUUCAUUAAGAAUCCUAUUCUCAAAAUGAUGAUGAUCGGACUGGGCGGUGCCAAUUUGUUGAACAAGGCAGGACACGAGGCAUUAGGAUGGGAACGGAAUGAGGAUAACGGUUUGAAUACGGGAAACCGUUCCGUCCGAUACCGGGUCUAUGCGGACGAACCGCUGAAUCCACGGAUUUCCGGUCCGAUACUGCAACGGAUCAACAAAUCUGAUUCCAGUCCCCAAUGUAGAGACAAGCUCUAUUCCCAUCACCCCGUAAUCAACAAUAGAAUCAUUCAGCAAAAACUCACCUGCACCAUAAAGGAUACUAUCUAUCGCAGUCAACUGCUCAAAAUUGUUUUGUACUCCCUUUAUGACGGCCAUCGUCU
rnacentral:rRNA from 1 species